rnacentral:rRNA from 1 species
UGGGGAAUAUUGCACAAUGGGGGAAACCCUGAUGCAGCAACGCCGCGUGAAGGAAGACGGUUUUCGGAUUGUAAACUUCUGUUCUUAGUGAAGAAUAAUGACGGUAGCUAAGGAGCAAGCCACGGCUAACUACGUGCCAGCAGCCGCGGUAAUACGUAGGUGGCAAGCGUUGUCCGGAAUUACUGGGUGUAAAGGGAGCGCAGGCGGGAGACCAAGUCAGCUGUGAAAACUACGGGCUUAACCUGUAGACUGCAGUUGAAACUGGUUUUCUUGAGUGAAGUAGAGGUUGGCGGAAUUCCGAGUGUAGCGGUGAAAUGCGUAGAUAUUCGGAGGAACACCGGUGGCGAAGGCGGCCAACUGGGCUUUAACUGAUGCUGAGGCUCGAAAGUGUGGGAGCAAACAGGAUUAGAUACC